CACGUAGGGCGCGAGCGUUGUCCGGAAUUAUUGGGCGUAAAGAGCUCGUAGGCGGCCUGUUGCGUCCGCUGUGAAAGCCCGGGCUUAACCCCGGGUCUGCAGUGGAUACGGGCAGGCUAGAGGUAGGUAGGGGAGAAUGGAAUUCCCGGUGUAGCGGUGAAAUGCGCAGAUAUCAGGAGGAACACCGGUGGCGAAGGCGGAUCUCUGGGCCGUAACUGACGCUGAGGAGCGAAGCAUGGGGAGCGAACAGG
rnacentral:rRNA from 1 species